rnacentral:tRNA from 1 species
GGCCUGUUGGUCUAGGGGUAUGAUUCUCGCUUCGGGUGCGAGAGGUUCCGGAUUCAACUCCCGUACAUGCCC